GAUGAACGCUGACAGAAUGCUUAACACAUGCAAGUCAACUUGAACUUCGGUUUGGGUGGCGGACGGGUGAGUAACGCGUAAAGAACUUGCCUCACAGAUAGGGACAACAUUUGGAAACGAAUGCUAAUACCUGAUAUUAUGAUUAUAUGGCAUCGUAUAAUUAUGAAAGCUAUAUGCGCUGUGAGAGAGCUUUGCGUCCCAUUAGCUAGUUGGAGAGGUAACGGCUCACCAAGGCGAUGAUGGGUAGCCGGCCUGAGAGGGUGAUCGGCCACAAGGGGACUGAGACACGGCCCUAACUCCUACGGGGGGCAGCAGUGGGGAAUAUUGGACAAUGGACCAAGAGUCUGAUCCAGCAAUUCUGUGUGCACGAUGAAGUUUUUCGGAAUGUAAAGUGCUUGCAGUUGGGAAGAAAAAAAUGACGGUACCAACAGAAGAAGUGACGGCUAAAUACGUG
rnacentral:rRNA from 1 species